CUGGCUCCGGUCCCUUCGCCGCCGCCGCUGUGUCCCCCCGGUGUCCCCUCCCCGCUGCCCCCGGGGGGCUCUGGGCACCCCAGGGUGGUCGAGCCCUGGGUGCAGCCUCUCGCUGCUGUCCCCGGGGUGUGUCGGGGGUCCCCAGGGUGGCUUUGUGCUGGUUGGGGUCCCCUUCCUGUCGCCGCUGGAGGGUCUCGGGGGUCCCCGGGGUGGCUCGGUCCCAGCGGGGCUGGGUACCACCCUUCCCCUGCCACUCCUAGGAGAGAACUCGGGGGUGCCCAGGCUGUCCCUGGGGUGGCUGCCCCAUAAGUGGGACCUUCUGUGCCCCCUUGUUGGCCGGAGGGUCCCCAGCCCAGCCGGGCUGGGCGCAGCCCCUCCCGCGGAGUCCGGAGGUCGCCGGGGCAGCGGGGCUGGGUCCGGGUGUGUCCCCAUCCCGCCUGGGCAAGCUCCGGCUGGGUCGGGAAAAGAUCCCAGUUCCAGCUCCUCUUUGUUUCCCAACGCCUUGGCCCCCGGCCGGCCGCUCCCCACGCCACCGCCCGCGGGGUCCCCACGUGCCAGGCCUGGUCCCGGAGACCUCCACGGUGGCCCAAGGCUUUGCCUCUGUGGCCACACCUGGCUGGGCUCGGUUUUCCUCCUGGUGACAGGACCCCCGAGCUUGAAGCCCGCUGUGUGACAGGGCCGAGCCUGGCACCCCCGGCUGUGGGCUGGGCAAGCCCCGGGGCUGGGCACUGCCACAUGUGCCCGGCUGGGACAGGGACACGGGGCAGGCAGGGCCACCCGCACGUGUUCUGGCUUCUCGGUGCCUCCAGAUGCACGGGUGGGCAGCCUCGUGUGCCCACCACGUUGUGGGGCAGAGGGGAUGGCGAGACCCCGGGGGGCUCGGGACACCCUGGCUGUGCGGGCAGGGCCCUCUGCUCAUGUCCCCCGUGGGCAUUAUCUCCAGCACGGGUGGCACCGCUCCAGCGGCGCCUUGGCGCAGCACCUGGCCAGGGGUGGGGUCUGGCCGCCCCGCCGGGGUGGGGACACCGCCGCCAUCAGCCCUGGCCCCACGCUCCCGUGCCAGCCCCGGAUCUGGCUCCGGGCCCGAGCAAACGGGCGAGAUCCGCAAACAAGCUCCGACCGGCCCCCGGCGCCCGCCCAGUCGGCGCGCGG
ensembl:lncRNA